rnacentral:rRNA from 1 species
AACGAACGCUGGCGGCAUGCCUAACACAUGCAAGUCGAACGAGACCUUCGGGUCUAGUGGCGCACGGGUGCGUAACGCGUGGGAACCUGCCCUUAGGUUCGGAAUAACUCCCCGAAAGGGGUGCUAAUACCGGAUAAUGUCUUCGGACCAAAGAUUUAUCGCCUUUGGAUGGGCCCGCGUUGGAUUAGCUAGUUGGUAGGGUAAAAGCCUACCAAGGCGACGAUCCAUAGCUGGUCUGAAAGGAUGAUCAGCCACACUGGGACUGAGACACGGCCCAGACUCCUGCGGGAGGCAGCAGUGGGGAAUAUUGGACAAGGGGCGAAAGCCUGAUCCAGCAAUGCCGCGUGAGUGAUGAAGGCCUUAGGGUUGUAAAGCUCUUUUACCCGGGAUGAUAAUGACAGUACCGGGAGAAUAAGCUCCGGCUAACUCCGUG